rnacentral:lncRNA from 1 species
AGGGCCAGUUUUUCCAGUGCUUUCUGUGAGAAUACUUCAUUAUUUGCUGAUGACGCACUUUUCCUUGACCUCUGUAGAGACUCUUGAAGACAACUCUGAAAAGUGGGCUGUGACUCCCGAUGCAGGGGAUGGUGUGGUCAAGCCCUCGUCUAGAGCAGACCCAGCCCAGACCUCUGACACAUUAGCCUUGAACAACCAGAUGGUGACCCAGAACAGGACUCCACACAGCGUUUGCCACCAGAAACCACAAGCAAAAUCUGGAUCUUGGGACCUCCAAACUUAUAGCGCUGACCAACGCACAACAGGAAACUGGGAAUCUCAUAGGAAGAGCCAGGACAUGAAGAAAAGGAAAUAUGAUCCAUCUUAACUGAGGCUCAGGCCACAUAAUUGGACUCUGUC